rnacentral:rRNA from 1 species
AGUGAACGCUGGCGGUAGGCCUAACACAUGCAAGUCGAACGGCAGCACAGUAAGAGCUUGCUCUUACGGGUGGCGAGUGGCGGACGGGUGAGGAAUACAUCGGAAUCUACUUUUUCGUGGGGGAUAACGUAGGGAAACUUACGCUAAUACCGCAUACGACCUACGGGUGAAAGCAGGGGAUCUUCGGACCUUGCGCGAUUGAAUGAGCCGAUGUCGGAUUAGCUAGUUGGCGGGGUAAAGGCCCACCAAGGCGACGAUCCGUAGCUGGUCUGCGAGGAUGAUCAGCCACACUGGAACUGAGACACGGUCCAGACUCCUACGGGAGGCAGCAGUGGGGAAUAUUGGACAAUGGGCGCAAGCCUGAUCCAGCCAUACCGCGUGGGUGGAGAAGGCCUUCGGGUUGUAAAGCCGUUUUGUUGGGAAAGAAAAGCAGCAGGUUAAGACCCCGCUGUUCUGACGGUACCCAAAGAAUAAGCACCGGCUAACUUCGUG